CUCUCUCUCUCUCUCUCUCUCUCUCUCUCUCUCUCGGUUUGUUCUUGAGAGAAGGGGAGAAGGAAUCGCAUGGGAAACUGAUUAUUGGCUUUGAUUCUUCUUUCCCCCAACAAUAUUUCUAGUUCCUAGUCAGAUCUGGUGAAAUCGUGAAGAUGUAUACGGAAUCUGUCCAUUAUGUUAUCAAGAAACGACGGAUGUUAGGUGUUCUAGCUGUAAUGUUGGCCAUUGUUCGGUGGCGUCGUCGACGUAGACAUUACAGUCUUAGAAUGUGUCGAAGAAAAUAUGGGCCAUUGGUUGAUAGAGAUCUGGAGAGGCAAAAAAAGUUGAAUGACCUGUACAAUUCAGCCGAUAAAAAUUGCAUCAGUCAACUCCGGAUGAGGAAAGACGUGUUUUGGAAGCUAUCAACCCAUUUGCGUGAUGCCGGUCUUGUAUGUGAUUCAGUGCAUGUAUCAGUUGAAGAAAAAUUAGCCAUUUUCCUACA